GGAGUGUGGACAGAGGCUCCGCUGACAGAGAAGGAGCUGGGGUGAGACACAGAGAGAGACCAGGCUUCAGGGACCCUAGUGGAGUCCAUGGGGUCAACAUCCCUGAUGUCCUUGUCCAUGUGCUCCCUGCCCUGGGGAUCGUGCUGACCCUGAGCCUCACUCUGAUCCUGGAGAAGCAGUGGAGCAGUGGGGACAGUUGAAGACAGUCCCCAGGGAGGAGGCACAGCAGACAUUCCCACAGUCACAGGAGUGAUUAUAGCUGGAUGACUGUUCCCUCCAUGUGGGAAUCUCUCAGCCACAGACAGUGUAUCCAUGUUCCUUGCAUCAGACCCCACAUGCUGCUUCAUACAGUCUUUCAUGUCACAGGUACCCUGUCCCAGCCUCUGCUACUCAGCCACCCCCGUCUCUGUGUCUCCAGGCACUAAAGCCAGAUUCACCUGCACCCUGCGUAACACGAAAAGAGAGGUAGGACACAGGAAGAGGGAGAAGCAGUGUCCCUGCAGGGAGCACGAUGUGGGACUGGAUCCAAGGGCCCAAGGAUCAUGCCCUGAG